CGGACGGGUGAGUAACACGUGGAUAACCUACCUAUAAGACUGGGAUAACUUCGGGAAACCGGAGCUAAUACCGGAUAAUAUUUUGAACCGCAUGGUUCAAAAGUGAAAGACGGUCUUGCUGUCACUUAUAGAUGGAUCCGCGCUGCAUUAGCUAGUUGGUAAGGUAACGGCUUACCAAGGCAACGAUGCAUAGCCGACCUUAGAGGGUGAUCGGCCACACUGGAACUGAGACACGGUCCAG
rnacentral:rRNA from 1 species